rnacentral:tRNA from 1 species
AAGUGGAAGCCAACUAGGCAUUUAUCUGUUACAUAAACCCCUGCUUUCUUUCUAGCCCACUUA